UCCGGCUUAACGCCGGCAGUCUCCAUAGAGUGCCCAACUAAAUGGUGGCAACUAAGGAUAAGGGUUGCGCUCGUUAAGGGACUUAACCCGACAUCUCACGAUACGAGCUGACGACAGCCAUGCAGCACCUGUCUCGGAGUCCCCGAAGGGAAGAUCCUAUCUCUAGGACUGUCUCCGGAUGUCAAACCCAGGUAAGGUUCUUCGCGUUGCAUCGAAUUAAACCACAUGCUCCACCGCUUGUGCGGGCCCCCGUCAAUUCCUUUGAGUUUUAACCUUGCGGCCGUACUUCCCAGGCGGGGUACUUAAUGCGUUAGCGUCGACACUGCAGGGGUCAAUUCCCGCAACAUCUAGUACCCAUCGUUUACAGCGUGGACUAC
rnacentral:misc_RNA from 1 species